rnacentral:rRNA from 1 species
GGAUAAGACUUGAGGAAUGUAGCUCCCUCGGGAGUGUUAUAGCCCAUUGUGUAAUACCCUGUGGUGGACUGAGGUUCGCGCAUCUGCAAGGAUGCUGGCGUAAUGGUCAUCAGCGA